rnacentral:lncRNA from 1 species
ACUCAGUUACCACAGCUCAGUUCAUCACAAUUGAUAUGGAGGAGAGUACCAUAUGUAUUUCUGUAAGGGGUCAGAGCUGACCUCCUUUGCCUGAGUUAAUCAAGAGCCAUUAGGACAUACAGUGCAUUAAAGGCUACUAUUGCCAGAGGAGAGGCUUCCUUCAAACUGUAUUUUCCCCACUUCACUGGAAUUUAUUGUAUGCAGAUGAAGGUGGAAGCUAAGGUUAUGUCACUAUACC